rnacentral:rRNA from 1 species
UACGGAGGGAGCUAGCGUUGUUCGGAUUCAUUGGGCGUAAAGAGCUCGUAGGCGGCUUGAUAAGUCGGAUGUGAAACCUCCAGGCUCAACCUGGAGUCGCCAUCCGAUACUGUCAUGGCUAGAGUCCGGUAGGGGCCCACGGAAUUCCUGGUGUAGCGGUGAAAUGCGCAGAUAUCAGGAGGAACACCGGUGGCGAAGGCGGUGGGCUGGGCCGGCACUGACGCUGAGGAGCGAAAGCGUGGGGAGCGAACAGG